rnacentral:lncRNA from 1 species
AUGUUCCAUAGAUGCCUAGGCCAGAAAAGGUCAUUUCAAGCCAGUCUUGGUGGUAGUUUAGUUGCUAAGUUGUGUCCAAUUAUUGGGACCCCUUGGACUGUAGCCCACCAGGCUCCUCUGUCCAUGGGAUUCUCCAGGCAAGAAUACUGGAGUGGGUUACUGUUUCCUUCUCUAGGGGAUCUUCUCAACCUGGGGAUCAAGCCCUGGUCUCCUGCACUGCAGGCAGAUUCUUUACCAACUGAGCAACAAGUCAUCUUAGCAGACUUCAAUGCCUCCUGCUCAGGUUCAUAA